rnacentral:rRNA from 1 species
UACGAAGGUGGCAAGCGUUGUUCGGAAUCACUGGGCUUAAAGAGCACGUAGGCGGCCUUGUAAGCGCUUUGUGAAAUCCCCCGGCUCAACCGGGGAAUUGCUGGGCGGACUGCAAGGCUUGAGGCAGGUAGGGGUGCGUGGAACCCUAGGUGGAGCGGUGAAAUGCGUAGAUAUCUAGGGGAACGCCAGCGGCGAAAGCGGCGCACUGGGCCUGUCCUGACGCUGAGGUGCGAAAGCUAGGGGAG